CACCGCCCGUCACACCAUGGGAGUCAGUUGCUCUAGAAGCCGGUGCGCCAACCUCGGAGGCAGGCCGCCUAAAGAGUGACUGGUGACUGGGGUG
rnacentral:rRNA from 1 species